rnacentral:lncRNA from 1 species
GCACUAUCUUCUGGUUCUUCUCCUCUUCAACCUCCAUUCUCCCCCUCUCCCUUCUUUUCCUCUCUCUUUCACCCUCCCCCACUCUUUCGUGUCUCUUUCCUCCUCUGAAUAACCAAGCUGUUUUGCUUCCGAAAGUAGAGAGAGAGGGAGAGAGAGAGAGAGAGAGAGAGAGAGAGAGAGAGAGAGAGGAGAGAGAGGCCUUGCUGUGAAUGGAAGACAGGAGGGACUCUGGUACAUCUGGGAGUGGAAACUUGAUGCUUCUGGGCUGUGAUUUGCCAAGGUCUCGCCAAAGAAGAGGAGAGGGAGCAAACAGACACCAGCAAAGCAUUCCUGUAACACGAUGUGCUACACAAGUUCCCAGUAGCGACAGAAGAGAAGAGCGACAUAAACUAUUUUAGACGCAAUCAAGGAAGAAUCGCCCAUCAUGUGGAAUUGAGCGGCAGUUUUAAAUGUACUAAGAGAAGACUGGUCUCGAAAAAAAAAAAAAAAAACAUUUUUUUCCCCUUCUUUUUUUGGAGACGCCUAAAGGAGCCUGUUUGUGUGCUGUGUGGCCACGUUCUGCUGUGACUGGAUCUUGUCUUCUGCCUGGCUCCUCGAUUUCCGUCCGGCUGGAUUUGGGGACAACACUGCCUGGCGCAGACAGAUCAAAUGACACUUCAAAGAAGCAUAAAAUGAACAGACUAUUCAAACAAAGGUAAUUUACAUUUUUUUAUUUGAUAAAACCUGACUGAUGUACAAAACGAAAAUAGAAUAUUGUUUACUGGAAAACAGGUCUACAAUCUCUCACACAUCUUCUCUUGCAACAGAUAGAAUUCCAGAAACAUCUAAGUUCCUCUGUGUACAGUUAUUUCUCCUGUAGGAGCCUUUGUAUGGAUGUAAUACACACAUAUAUGUAUAUGCAUAGAGCAUGACAUAAAUAAAACCUGCAAUAGCCUAUAAGAAAGAAGCUCCUAUUUAGAGGAAAGGGUAAGAUACUUUUAUUAUAAUGAAAGCCAGUUCACUUCAUCACUUGGACCAUGGACACUAAUGUAAAUAAAAUGGCUUAAAAAAUAAGACAAUAGUAGUAUUGACUGUAGACUACAAUUUGCACAUUUGUAAUUCUUAUAAAUGAAAUAUUUAAAAUGAUUUGGUGUUGGGCCAGUUCCUUAUGCAUUCUGCAUUCAUGUGUAUAGGAUUCAAAGACGUUCCAAAUAUUGAUCAUAAACCAAGUGUAUAUGAAUUAAUUAAAUAGCAUAUUUCUGGCCCAAAUAUGAGGAAAACCAUAACUUUUUACUGUAAAUCAGGAGAGAUUGUUUUAUCCCCAAAUAAACUAGGAUGUUUCAAGUCAUGUUUCAGCAAUUUGGAGACCUACAAACUAUCUGCAAGCAAGCACAACAACCAUACUCUAAUCUACUAGAUAGUAGUGAGAAUUUAGUGCUUGAAUUCAGGCUGCUUGAAUUCAGUAUAUCCUUCUCUAUGCUGAUUUUCAAGUAGAUAUUCUGUAGCUCAGCUAGAUAAUCUUUUAAAAGC